AUACCCUGGUAGUCCACGCCGUAAACGAUGUCGACUUGGAGGUUGUGCCCUUGAGGCGUGGCUUCCGGAGCUAACGCGUUAAGUCGACCGCCUGGGGAGUACGGCCGCAAGGUUAAAACUCAAAUGAAUUGACGGGGGCCCGCACAAGCGGUGGAGCAUGUGGUUUAAUUCGAUGCAACGCGAAGAACCUUACCUGGUCUUGACAUCCACGGAAGUUUUCAGAGAUGAGAAUGUGCCUUCGGGAACCGUGAGACAGGUGCUGCAUGGCUGUCGUCAGCUCGUGUUGUGAAAUGUUGGGUUAAGUCCCGCAACGAGCGCAACCCUUAUCCUUUGUUGCCAGCGGUCCGGCCGGGAACUCAAAGGAGACUGCCAGUGAUAAACUGGAGGAAGGUGGGGAUGACGUCAAGUCAUCAUGGCCCUUACGACCAGGGCUACACACGUGCUACAAUGGCGCAUACAAAGAGAAGCGACCUCGCGAGAGCAAGCGGACCUCAUAAAGUGCGUCGUAGUCCGGAUUGGAGUCUGCAACUCGACUCCAUGAAGUCGGAAUCGCUAGUAAUCGUGGAUCAGAAUGCCACGGUGAAUACGUUCCCGGGCCUUGUACACACCGCCCGUCACACCAUGGGAGUGGGUUGCAAAAGAAGUAGGUAGCUUAACCUUCGGGAGGGCGCUUACCACUUUGUGAUUCAUGACUGGGGUGAAGUCGUAACAAGGUAACCGUAGGGGAACCUGCGGUUG
rnacentral:rRNA from 1 species